AUGGGCUGGGACCACAGCCGGGAGGCUUCACGGGGCAUCUCAGAACGGCCAGCCCCUGAAUUCAUAACCCGAGGGAGCCCUCCACUCCAGGCGCCAAAUUCAGGAUGGCUGCAGCUUGGUAUGCUCAGCACCUGGGGUGGCAGCAGCAGGAAAGCGGCCCAGAGGGCAGCUUCCCCACUGUUCGCCGAGACUGAACAGAGUGGGGACAACCGGCCGCCACCGCGGGGAGCAACCCGGAUGCAGCCUGCUCCCACCCCAGACACGCGGACAGCAGGCUGCCAUCACACAGCCCAGGACACCCCACGGCCGCCGGCCCAUGGCAUCACCCUCCCCAGCCCAGGCUCCGUCAGCAACCUACGCUUCCUGGUUUUUGGUCUCACUCCCCAUGGAGGACCAGCUGGAGAAAGCUGCGCAGGACGUGCCCCUGGCCAGCAUGCUGGUCAGUCAUCUGGCCCCCAGGCCCACUCAGGACCCCAGGCCCCACUAGGAAGCACUCCCACUCCUCUGCUGCCCUCGCCCCUGCCCAGCCUGGUGGUGCUUGUGGCAGCCCCAUGGCAGCUCGGAAGACAGUGCUGUGCUCGUCGCAUAGGGCCCGGUUCACAUUCGCGGUCCCUGUGGGUAAUGGGGAGAAGCCGAAGCACAGGGCAAAGAUGCUCAGCAACCAGUCAUCCGGCCAUCUUCCUGGAGUUUCCGGGGCACCCUCUCCCGGGUGCAUCCGCGUCUCAGGACGCCCUCCUUUCCACGCUCAUCACGCCUUCCCUGUUACUCGGCACUUUACCACCACUUCUGACAGACACGUGUUUCUUACAACAUACAACACCCCAACGGUCCUGCCAGUCUUUCCAGGGCUCCACGUCCCCGGCCUUCCGGAGGGCAGAUGAGGCGCCAUCAGCUCCAGCACUGACUCAGUGCAUGGCGGGAGGAGCAGCUGGGAUCCUGCCAAACUGCCCUCAGGAAGGCGAACCCCUGCCCCCUCCACCAUCUCCCCCGUGCUGCUGGCACAGCAGCUGCUGA
rnacentral:lncRNA from 1 species